rnacentral:rRNA from 1 species
GGGGAGAUUCAGUGUGCGAUUGACCGGGAUUCGUCCUGUGAUACGCCUUGGUGGCGAGGGCAUGCACUUCUCCCCUAGUAGGACGUCGCGACCCGUUGGGUGUCGGUCUACGGCGUAGCCUGAAGUGAAUUGUCAGACCCUGCGUGUUCUGGCCGACUGCCCGACGGUAUAGCGUUCGGCCGGUCGCAAGCGUGUGCGGUUCUUUUGGCUGUCGGACCUGGUCCGGCACCGAUCCCGCUCGUGCUGUUGGUGACCGUGUCCUCGGACAGACUCUACAGGUCAGCGAUGCUAUUGCUUUGGGUACUUUCAGGACCCGUCUUGAAACACGGACCAAGGAGUCUAGCAUGUGCGCAAGUCAUUGGGAAUUACAAAACCUAAAGGCGUAAUGAAAGUGAAGGUUCGCUUAUGUGGACUGAGGGAUGAUGGUUCGGUGCAAACUCGCAAUCCCGGGGCGUCUUACUCUCAUUGAGAAGAGGCGCACCAAGAGCGUACACGCUGGGACCCGAAAGAUGGUGAACUAUGCCUGGUCAGGUCGAAGUCAGGGGAAACCCUGAUGGAGGACCGUAGCGAUUCUGACGUGCAAAUCGAUCGUCGGAACUGGGUAUAGC